AACGAACGCUGGCGGCAGGCUUAACACAUGCAAGUCGAACGCCCCGCAAGGGGAGUGGCAGACGGGUGAGUAACGCGUGGGAAUCUACCCAGAUCUUCGGAACAACACAGGGAAACUUGUGCUAAUACCGGAUACGCCCUACGGGGGAAAGAUUACUCGGUUCUGGAUGAGCCCGCGUUGGAUUAGCUAGUUGGUGGGGUAAUGGCCUACCAAGGCGACGAUCCAUAGCUGGUCUGAGAGGAUGAUCAGCCACACUGGGACUGAGACACGGCCCAGACUCCUACGGGAGGCAGCAGUGGGGAAUAUUGGACAAUGGGCGAAAGCCUGAUCCAGCCAUGCCGCGUGAGUGAUGAAGGCCUUAGGGUUGUAAAGCUCUUUCAGUAGGGAAGAUAAUGACGGUACCUACAGAAGAAGCCCCGGCUAACUUCGUGCCAGCCGCCGCGGUAAGAC
rnacentral:rRNA from 1 species